GGAAGGCUGUCACAUCGGGGAAACGCCUGGGUCUACAACCUGUUGAUGUGAGCCCUGCUGGGCCAGACAAGG
rnacentral:lncRNA from 1 species